rnacentral:sRNA from 1 species
UUUCAAGCUGCACGCAAUUUAUCAGCGCGCCUCUUUCGUUCUUUUAUUAAUUUAUAUUUUUCGGGCGUUUGGAUGAACGACACUGGGGCCUGGGGCAAAUCAAUUUCGGCAUCCACAAGGGAGGUAGGCCUCGAAGACGACAUUCCAUAUACAAGAAAUAUGAUCGAACAACAGGCAGCAGGAACGGGCAUAAGGAGCUGGAGCUGGAGGAAUAACUUGUCUCUGGAUCGGUUUCGGUUGCGUUUUGUAAAUUAUGCCGAAAAGAAGGGGAACGGCAGUAGCGUGAAAGCGAGCGUUUGCCUCCGGUUAAUGAUGAUACCGGAUAACCAGCACUUAAAGGAUAUUUAUGCUGCAAUGUGAGCCACAUCGCAAUUCCAUUGCUUGCCAAUGCCAGUAGAAAGGAACACUCGAUGUCGAGUCGAUGGCCCACUCAUCGGCAGAGUGUAUUUUUGCCCGAUCUGCUGGGUCAGAGGCGCUGGAGCCACCAGAGCCUCAAAGUCGAUGACGAUGGCUGUGCCUAAGCCUCUCCAGAUGCGCAUUAAAAGUCCAUUAAAAAAACAACGGGUGGCAGGCAUCUUGGUGGUAGUGGUGGCGUUUGCUCCACUUUCAUGAAUAUGCAAACCACUAAACGAAAAAUACGGGCACGUAACCGAAGAUUGGUUACUCUUGACGUUCGAGUCAAUUUACGAUACAUUGGUCUUACAUUUUCCCAAGAGAAUUUGAACUUUCCUUCCAAUAAUUAACCCAACAUCUAUUUUAUUUUAUUAUAAUAAAAGAAAGAUCACUUUAUUCCCCAUCUAUUAGAAUGAUUCUCUGUUCUGAUGACCCAAUUUCGGGUAAAGUAUUUUUACUCAACCUUUUAGGGAAGUGACCAUAAAAAGUUUAUUUUCCAUUUCGGCAAAUUAUUCUCGAUGAAAAUGAUGAUUUGUACAGAGCCAAAAAUACAAACAAAAUACA